rnacentral:rRNA from 1 species
UGGGGAAUAUUGCACAAUGGGCGCAAGCCUGAUGCAGCCAUGCCGCGUGUAUGAAGAAGGCCUUCGGGUUGUAAAGUACUUUCAGCGGGGAGGAAGGCGAUAAGGUUAAUAACCUUGUCGAUUGACGUUACCCGCAGAAGUAGCACCGGCUAACUCCGUGCCAGCAGCCGCGGUAAUACGGAGGGUGCAAGCGUUAAUCGGAAUUACUGGGCGUAAAGCGCACGCAGGCGGUCUGUCAAGUCGGAUGUGAAAUCCCCGGGCUCAACCUGGGAACUGCAUUCGAAACUGGCAGGCUAGAGUCUUGUAGAGGGGGGUAGAAUUCCAGGUGUAGCGGUGAAAUGCGUAGAGAUCUGGAGGAAUACCGGUGGCGAAGGCGGCCCCCUGGACAAAGACUGACGCUCAGGUGCGAAAGCGUGGGGAGCAAACA